rnacentral:lncRNA from 1 species
GUUAGCAAAAGUGAUAGCUACACCAAACCAAUCGGGAAGUGUCAUAGUAUCACAGAAGGUAGUACAAGAUUGCAAUCCCGAACAGAAGCAGCAUGCUAUAACUCAACCAGUGCAAGGCAGCCAACCAAUGAUAAGUGCCGCACAGCCUCAAUUUGUUGUCCAGAACCAACUCCAGCAACCUCAAGUCAUUCUCCAGGCUCAGGCUCAGCAACCUCAAGUCAUUCUCCAGGCUCAAAUCCAGCAACAGCAGCCUUUGGUUCAAAACCACACAGUUCUACAUGGUGAUCUUCAACAAGCCCAGCUUCUACAGCAACAGGAACCACAUUUACAGCAGCAGCCACAACAGGUUCAGCAAUCAGUGC